rnacentral:rRNA from 1 species
ACGUAACGGUCCCCUUACCUCGGUACAUCCAAGACAGGUGGUGCAUGGUUGUCGUCAGCUCGUGUCGUGAGAUGUUGGGUUAAGUCCCGCAACGAGCGCAACCCUUAUCUUCAGUAGCCAGCAGGUAAAGCCGGGCACUCUGGAGAGACUGCCGGGGAUAACCCGGAGGAAGGUGGGGAUGACGUCAAAUCAUCAUGCCCCUUAUGAUUUGGGCUACACACGUGCUACAAUGGCGUGAACAGAGGGAAGCGAGCCCGCGAGGGGGAGCAAAUCCCAAAAAUAACGUCCCAGUUCGGAUUGUAGUCUGCAACCCGACUACAUGAAGCUGGAAUCGCUAGUAAUCGCGGAUCAGAAUGCCGCGGUGAAUACGUUCCCGGGUCUUGUACACACCGCCCGUCACACCAUGGGAGUCGGAAAUGCCCGAAGUCUGUGACCUAACCGCAAGGGAGGAGCAGCCGAAGGCAGGUCGGAUGACUGGGGUGAAGUCGUAACAAGGUAGCCGUAUCGGAA